UUUAAUCGUUUCUUCUUUCCACUAUUUUCAUUAUUUUUCUCGUCUCCAUCUUUCUCUGGUUGUUAAUUUCUUGUUUUUAAUUUUGUUUUUUUUCUUUCUUUUCCUUCUUUUUAAUUAUUGUUUUCUCAUCUUGUCUUAUCUGGGUCUUUUUUUGUUACUUGUGUGUCUGGUUAUUAUUUUCCUUCUUCAGCAUCGUCUCUCUCUCUCUCUCUCUCUCUCUCUCUCUGCUUUUAAUUUCCUCUUAUUCCUUUACUCUUCAUUUUCCUACAUCACUUUCACUCCCAUCCUCCUACUCCUCCUUUUAUUUGUGUUAUUUCUCCUUCAGUCCUCCUCAUUUAACAUAUUCUUCACCCUCCACCACCAUCACCACCACCACCAUCACCUUCACCACCUCCUGAUGCAGCCAAUAAAAUAAAAGAGAAAAGAAAAGCGCGGUCAGAAACAAAACUGCGCAGUAAACCCAGUGAACUUCCAUCUCCCCCUCCUCUCUCUCUCCUUCCCUCAAGCAAGCAAGUGACCGACCCCUGGAAAGAAAACGGGAGCGACCUUCUGCAACACACGGAGGUAAUACAGGCUGGUGGACAGGUGUGGCAGGUGUGUGUGCGUACGUAGGUGGUGCCCCCGUGCAGGUGAGCCAUGUACGUUAACUGAUCAAGGACCUGGAAGUUGUUCUUAGUGAAUAUGGAGGUUAUUGAGGUGAGGAAAACGGAGAAGGAGAAGGAGAAGGUGGUGGUGGUGGGUGGUGAUGGUGGUGGAGGAAAAUUAUGUGAGGCCAGUGUAUGAUUAUAACUGUAUUUCCAGAGAGAGAGAGAGAGAGAGAGAGAGAGAGAGAGAGAGAGAGAGAGAGAGAGAGAGAGAGAGAUUAUAAGCGAAGGUUAUAGUUUACUGAACGAUAUUUUAAAGUGAAGCAAGGCAAGGCAGAAGUGGCUCUUAAAUUGAUGAAACUGAACUUGUCUGCCUCUGAUUGAACCAGAAUUAAAUGAACAAAUAAAAUAACAAAUAGAUCAGUAGAAAAUAAAUAAAUAAAGUGAAAUAGAUAAAUAGAUAAGAAAUACAACUAUUCUCCCUUCUCCCGCCGCGUCGCUAGCAGGCACCCGCACGUGGCCAGCCUUGUGCUCUGCUUGGCUAUUCUCUGCCGGGGAGGCGCAACGGGCGGCGUCCUCCCGGAGACACGGAAAAAGAAACUUCUUGCGAAGUGUAGAGGUGACUUGGUAUGGCGCGGUUAACAGCAAGGCGGGUCUGGGAAAUAGAGGGGUGUGUUUUCAAGGUCUGGGUCAUGUGUUAUUCAUGGCGUGGUUUGCUUGUGUUCCUCGUGACGUGCAUCUGCGAGUGUUAUGACAUGCUGGGUUUCGGUAACUGUCAGAUUUGGUAAGGUUUGGUUGGGUAAAGUUAAUGUUUGGGUCUUCCUUACUAGAUGUGGCUAUGAGUCUGUCGUUAUAGUAUGGAGAAAUGUAUGGUGUUUUUAAGUUUUUUUUUUUUUUUUUUUAUGUGGUGGAUGCACCUGGUAAUAGAAACAACCAGAUUUAGCCUCCUUGUUGAUGAACAAUUUUAUUUAA